CUGGAAGGAUACUGGCCGGGUCUGGCCGAGCUGGGCUGGGUCUGGCUGAGCAGAGCAGAGCCGAGCCGGGCAAAGCUCGACAGGGAGGCUCUGGGCGGAGGGUAGUGGAAGGCGGUAGCCUGGUGGCGGCGAGGCUGCGGCGACAGAGAUCCGGGAGAGAGUUGCUGCCGGCUGGAGCGCGACCUCUUGCCUGGUGGAAUGACCAAGUAGCCGUGAGACCUUGGGGCAAGUUCAGAAAACCUUCGGAAGUUUUUGUUUUUGCCGCACUGAAGAGUUCCCGCUGUAGACCGAACAUUUAUUUGUCAGGCCUUCGAAUGGCUCAGGGUGGCUGCUCCUCUGGUGGACUGUAUUCAGGCUUUCAAGUCGGGGGUUCUGGGGGGGUGGGAGGGGAGCUCCUACCUCUGCUUGUGAUGUCCCCAAACAUUAGGCAGGAUGUGUGUGUGUGUGUGUGUUUUUUUUCCUAUGUGGCAUGUGUUGCCAUUGAGACCUGCCUUAUCUUCUUACCCAUGGGUAGUUUCGCGGGUUCUGUGAAUGAAAGGAUGUAUGGACGGUAUUUUGGCGGGGGGUGGGUGUUGGGGGUGCGUGGGCGUUGUUUUUGUUUUUCCAUGUUUGGGAAUGAAUUCUAGAUAACAUUCUAUGGCUCAACCGCAUUCGCUGGUCAUGUAUGAAAGUUUUUAUUUUCCAAAUCCUCACGGCCUUUCUCCUGAGGACCCCUUUCCCUCGGUGUCUUUUUCCCAAGCUUCCUGUACCAGGCUACUUCUGCCUCAUUUUCCAGGCUCCAUGGUUAUUCCAUGGCGUUUCUUGCUCAACCCAGAGACAGCUGGAACAAGAGGGCUCAUUGAAGUCGAGAGCUUGCCAAAGGAAUUUCCCACACAUCACUACCAGUGGUCCUCUCUGAAGCUCAGGACAGGAUUUGUGGACUCACUUCACCUCAGACCAUGGCAAGCAAGGGCUUGCCCCUUUACUUGGCCACCUUGUUGACUGGACUCUUGGAAUGCAUCGGUUUUGCUGGUGUCCUCUUUGGCUGGACUUCACUGUUGUUUGUGUUCAAAGCAGAAAACUACUUUUCAGAGCCCUGUGAACAGGACUGCUUGCUCCAGAGCAAUGUAACAGGGCCUUCUGAUUUAAAAGCGCAGGAUGAGAAGUUCUCACUCAUCUUUACCCUGGCAUCCUUCAUGAAUAACUUCAUGACCUUUCCCACUGGCUACAUCUUUGACCGCUUCAAGACUACUGUGGCCCGCCUGAUAGCCAUAUUUUUCUACACCUGCGCCACGAUCAUCAUUGCCUUCACCUCUGCAAACACUGCCAUGCUGCUCUUCCUAGCCAUGCCCAUGCUCGCAGUGGGAGGAAUCCUGUUCCUUAUCACCAACCUACAGAUUGGGAACCUCUUUGGGAAACACCGUUCAACCAUCAUCACCCUCUACAAUGGAGCAUUUGACUCCUCCUCAGCAGUGUUCCUCGUCAUUAAGCUGCUUUACGAGCAGGGCAUCAGCCUCAGGUCUUCCUUCAUCUUCAUGUCUGUCUGCAGUGUCUGGCACAUUGCGCGUACUUUCCUUCUGAUGCCCAAGGGACAUAUCCCCUACCCACUGCCUCCCAACUACAGCUAUGGCUUGUGCUCCAGGUUUGGUGCUAGCAAGAAAGAGAAUAAAGCAGCUGAACACGAAACCAAGGAGCUGCGGUCAAAGGAAUGUCUGCCACCCAAGGAAGAGAACUCUGGACCAGAACAGCAGCAGCAGCAGGAGCAGCAGCAGCAGCAGCAGCAGCAGCAGGAGCAACACGAGCAACACUCUUUUCGACGCUGCGCGCUCUCUCGUCGAUUCAUCUUGCACGUGGUGUGGCUGUCUAUCAUACAGUUGUGGCAUUACCUCUUCAUUGGUACUCUCAACUCUCUACUCACCAAGUUAUCCGGUGGGGACAAAGUGGAAGUGCCUACACAAAUGCCUUUGCCAUCACCCAGUUCUUUGGCGUGCUGUGUGCCCCCUGGAAUGGCUUACUCAUGGACCGCCUUAAACAGAAGUAUCAGAAGGCAGCCAAAAGGACAGGUUCCUCGUCUGAGGCUGUGGCUCUCUGCUCCAUGGUGCCUUCACUGGCUCUGACGUCUCUGCUGUCCCUGGGCUUUGCCCUGUGUGCCUCCAUUCCUGUCAUGCAGCUACAGUACGCCACCUUCAUCCUGCAAGUGGUCAGCCGCUCCUUCCUGUAUGGAUGCAAUGCUGCCUUCCUCACGCUGGCAUUUCCCUCAGAGCAUUUUGGAAAGCUCUUUGGGCUGGUGAUGGCCUUGUCAGCUAUUGUGUCUCUGCUACAGUUCCCCCUGUUCAAAGUCUCCCCUGAGAGCAACGCUGUGUAUGUAUCGAUGGGGCUUGCCAUUUUCCUGACAUUGGUCCAUCCCUUCCUGGUGUACCGUGAGUGCCGUGCUGAGAAGACAAAAUCGUCUGUGGAUGCCUAGUCCACUCUCUAGCCUCGAUGAUGCCUUUUCUGUUCAUUACUCGACUUUGAUGAUCCAGUAUCUACAAAGACUGCCUCCCCAGGAGAACUGUAAUCGGCAGUCAUAGUUUUUCUUAAACCACUGCCACCACAAGAAACAAACCAACAAAAACCAAAAAAACAGAAACAAAAAACAAGGCACUCAAAUGUCACCUAGGACUUUUGAUUUCCAAGAUGAGUGGAAAUUUCAGUGGCCAAGCAGCCUUCACACCAACCCAAAGCAAAGAUUUAGAUGAGUUUUUAGUUACUCCCUGCACAGGGCCACAGCAGAGCUCAUUGCAAGGGACAGGGAGAUAUGUCACAGAGUCAUGCUACCCCAAAGGACUUGGGAUCCAACUGACUGGCUAGCCAGAAAGAUUUUGGACAACACUUUGUAUCUUGCCUGUGAGCAAUGUCUCCUCUUCAGGAAAAGGGCUAUUCAUUGACUUAGGGCAGCUUUUAUAUAUAAUUAGCUUGGGGUUGGAGAGAUGGCUUAACUCUUAAGAGCACUGGCUGCUCUUCCAGAGGACCUGGUUUGAUUUUUAGCACCCACAUAGUGGCUCACAAACUGUAACUGCAGUCCCUCCAUGGAUACUGCAUGCUUGUGCACAGACAUAUAUGCAGACAAAACAUCCAUACACAUUAAACAAAUAUAAUUUCUCUAGGGAAUACUUUUAUACAAUAAUAAAGCCUCUAUGUUUAAGGCAA